GAUGAACGCUGGUGGCGUGCCUAAUACAUGCAAGUCGAGCGAACGGACGAGAAGCUUGCUUCUCUGAUGUUAGCGGCGGACGGGUGAGUAACACGUGGAUAACCUACCUAUAAGACUGGGAUAACUUCGGGAAACCGGAGCUAAUACCGGAUAAUAUUUUGAACCGCAUGGUUCAAAAGUGAAAGACGGUCUUGCUGUCACUUAUAGAUGGAUCCGCGCUGCAUUAGCUAGUUGGUAAGGUAACGGCUUACCAAGGCAACGAUGCAUAGCCGACCUGAGAGGGUGAUCGGCCACACUGGAACUGAGACACGGUCCAGACUCCUACGGGAGGCAGCAGUAGGGAAUCUUCCGCAAUGGGCGAAAGCCUGACGGAGCAACGCCGCGUGAGUGAUGAAGGUCUUCGGAUCGUAAAACUCUGUUAUUAGGGAAGAACAUAUGCGUAAGUAACUGUGCACAUCUUGACGGUACCUAAUCAGAAAGCCACGGCUAACUACGUG
rnacentral:rRNA from 1 species